rnacentral:tRNA from 1 species
UGAAGUGUAGCUCAGUGGUAGAGUACUUGCUUGCAUGCACUGGCCCUGGAUUUAAUUCCCAGCACCACAA